AAUGAACGCUGGCGGCAGGCCUAACACAUGCAAGUCGAACGGAUCCUUCGGGAUUAGUGGCGGACGGGUGAGUAACGCGUGGGAACAUACCCUUUGGUACGGAAUAGCCUCGGGAAACUGGGAGUAAUACCGUAUGUGCUCUUCGGAGGAAAGAUUUAUCGCCAAAGGAUUGGCCCGCGUUGGAUUAGGUAGUUGGUGGGGUAAUGGCCUACCAAGCCGACGAUCCAUAGCUGGUUUGAGAGGAUGAUCAGCCACACUGGGACUGAGACACGGCCCAGACUCCUACGGGAGGCAGCAGUGGGGAAUCUUAGACAAUGGGGAAACCCUGAUCUAGCCAUGCCGCGUGAUCGAUGAAGGCCUUAGGGUUGUAAAGAUCUUUCAGUGGGGAAGAUAAUGACGGUACCCACAGAAGAAGCCCCGGCUAACUCCGUGCCAGCAGCCG
rnacentral:rRNA from 1 species